GCAUGUUUGCCGGAGUGUCU
rnacentral:rRNA from 1 species